rnacentral:rRNA from 1 species
AAUACGGAGGGUGCGAGCGUUAAUCGGAAUUACUGGGCGUAAAGCGCAUGCAGGUGGUUUGUUAAGUCAGAUGUGAAAGCCCGGGGCUCAACCUCGGAACUGCAUUUGAAACUGGCAAACUAGAGUACUGUAGAGGGGGGUAGAAUUUCAGGUGUAGCGGUGAAAUGCGUAGAGAUCUGAAGGAAUACCAGUGGCGAAGGCGGCCCCCUGGACAGAUACUGACACUCAGAUGCGAAAGCGUGGGGAGCAAACAGGAUUAGAUACCCUGGUAGUCCACGCCGUAAACGAUGUCUACUUGGAGGUUGUGGCUUUGAGCCGUGGCUUUCGGAGCUAACGCGUUAAGUAGACCGCCUGGGGAGUACGGUCGCAAGAUUAAAACUCAAAUGAAUUGACGGGGGCCCGCACAAGCGGUGGAGCAUGUGGUUUAAUUCGAUGCAACGCGAAGAACCUUACCUACUCUUGACAUCCAGAGAACUUUCCAGAGAUGGAUUGGUGCCUUCGGGAACUCUGAGACAGGUGCUGCAUGGCUGUCGUCAGCUCGUGUUGUGAAAUGUUGGGUUAAGUCCCGCAACGAGCGCAACCCUUAUCCUUGUUUGCCAGCGAGUAAUGUCGGGAACUCCAGGGAGACUGCCGGUGAUAAACCGGAGGAAGGUGGGGACGACGUCAAGUCAUCAUGGCCCUUACGAGUAGGGCUACACACGUGCUACAAUGGCGCAUACAGAGGGCAGCCAACUCGCGAGAGUGAGCGAAUCCCAAAAAGUGCGUCGUAGUCCGGAUUGGAGUCUGCAACUCGACUCCAUGAAGUCGGAAUCGCUAGUAAUCGUAGAUCAGAAUGCUACGGUGAAUACGUUCCCGGGCCUUGUACACACCGCCCGUCACACCAUGGGAGUGGGCUGCAAAAGAAGUGGGUAGUUUAACCUUCGGGAGGACGCUCACCACUUUGUGGUUCAUGACUGG